CCGGUACUUACCGCCGGCCCGCGGCGGGCGGCCAUCCGUCUCCAGACGGCGGCGAAGUCGGGCGGCGGGGCUCGCGGGCUCCGGCAGACGAGGGAGCACAGGGUCCCCAGCAGGAAGGCGGCGGCGGCGCAGCCCAGCCCCCUCAGGGAAGGAGUCAGACAAAAGUGGAGGAGUAAAUGAAGCUUGCAAUCUCUAGUCUGGAGAGACCCGGAGAAGUCCGCCUGGUGCCAGAGGGUAUACACAGCUGCCAUCAUCACUUUGGCUCCAAGUCCCGGUAUUUUCGUUGCCAACAAUUCAGUACAAAUGCUAUUACUCAUGCGAGUGAAAGUGGUCCUGAUAAUUUUUAGAAGACGUAUUUUCCUCUUCUGUCAUGGUUCCAGCAUUAAUAUACAGAUAAUGCUUGCUGAGAAGAUGCCAAUGUGCUAGAUGAAUACUAGUAAUUACUGCUAGGACCAAUAAAGCAGCAGAUGUAUCUUUAAUGGAUAAAUAAAGGAAUUCUAAAGAGA